AAAAAAACCAAAAGCUAAAUCUUCCCCUACUGAUUCACGUAAGAGAAAGACAUAGGGAAGUGGAGAAAAAAGAAUCUCAUCAUUAUCACCAUAGUUCAUUCAUUUAAAACAAAACCUCUUCUCUUUCAUAAAAGAAACUCUUAUUUUUUAUAUAAAAAAACAGUAAGCAUAAGAUAGAAAAAGAAAAACCAACAUGGUGGAGCUCAAGAACAGAAUGGUGGAGCACACAAACUCACGGCGGCUCGCAUAAAGCUCAUGGCGGCCGGAGCUUCUCCGGCGCGGAGGCCGGAGGUGGAAGUUUCCAGAAUCGUGAAAAAUUUACAUUGUUCUGUUCGGUUUCCUCUCCUCAGUUCAAAUAUCAGUGCAGGUAACACGAAAGUAAAGAGGAAUUCGGGUUCAGAAGGAGGUUCUCAACCUUUUGAGUCAAAGAAACCAAGGAACGGUGGCGGUUGAGAGCUCCGGCACGGUGGCAGAGGAUUUUCGGCGGUGGUUACUGGCGGGUUUUCAGUUUCCGGUCAGUUGAAAGAAAAGCAUGGAUGAAAUCUUAAAGAUUAUUGAGCUUGGAAGAUUCAAAGGAAGACAUGAGCAUGGACAUGGAGAAAUGUUGAAGAAAAUGGUGUGGACUUGGAAUAUUUUGAAUUUUUCCUUAUGUAAACAUAAUGAUGUAACUUUGAGAAUCCGUCCACCUUGUAAUUUGGAAUGAGUUAUGAACUUGAAUGGACUUUCUUGGAUUUGAAGCUUCGAAAUUUGUAUGUUGAAUGAUCAUAGAAUUGAAACUCUUACAUCUUGAAUGGAAACUUUGGAAUCAAAUCAUGAAUUGGAUUUUUUUUUUUAUGAAAUGAGAACUUGCACUAAUCCUUAAGAACUUGGUUUUCAACUCCAAAUAAUUCAAUUUGCAUGAUUUCUUCAUCUCGAAUUAAAUUCUUGAACAAAAUAAAUGCUCAAAAAUUCAAUAUCAUUUGACUGAACUUGAACACUCUUGAAUUGAUUCUUAACCACUUGACAAUCAUCACCACAAUAAUAAAGUCUUGAUUCAAACCUCUGAACCCUGAUGAGAAAAAUCACCUGAACUUCUUGAUCCUCAGACCCUAUCUGAUAAAGAAACAAAAAUAAAAACUAUUUUUUGAAUUUUGAUUAAUGGUUAGUGAAACAUAAUAACUAAAAAUGAAUAGAAAUAUGAUCAAAGAUGUGCCUGGUGAUUCCCUUG